rnacentral:lncRNA from 1 species
UCAUCAUCAUAAACCUCUCUUCAAGAAACCAAUUCCAUUUAUUAAACCUGUUCCAAAACCAAUUCCAUUUGUAAAACCAAUUCCCAUUUAUAAGCCUUAUCCCAAACCAGUUCCAGUUCCGGUUUAUAAGCCAAUUCCAGUUUAUAAGCCAGUUCCGAUUUAUAAGCCAAUUCCAAAGCCAGUUCCAGUUUAUAAGCCUGUUCCAAUUUAUAAGCCAGUUCCAAAGCCAGUUCCUAUUUAUAAGCCAAUUCCAAAACCGGUUCCAGUUUAUAAGCCAAUUCCAAAACCAGUUCCAGUUUAUAAGCCAGUUCCAAUUUAUAAGCCAAUUCCAAAACCGGUUCCUAUUUAUAAGCCAAUUCCAAAACCAGUUCCAGUUUAUAAGCCAAUUCCAAAACCAGUUCCAGUUUAUAAGCCAAUUCCAAAGCCAGUUCCAGUUUAUAAGCCAAUUCCAAAGCCAGUUCCAGUUUAUAAGCCAGUUCCAAUUUAUAAGCCUAUUCCAAAACCAGUUCCUAUUUAUAAGCCUAUUCCAAAACCGGUUCCUAUUUAUAAGCCUAUUCCAAAACCGGUUCCAGUAUACAAGCCUGUUCCAAUUCCAGUGUUUAAGCCUAUACCAAAACCAGUACCCUUUUAUAAGCCAAUUCCUGUUUUUAAGCCAGUUCCAACCCCAUUUCCUAUUAUCAAGC